CCUACGGGGGGCUGCAGUGGGGAAUAUUGGACAAUGGGCGAAAGCCUGAUCCAGCCAUGCCGCGUGUGUGAUGAAGGCCUUCGGGUUGUAAAGCACUUUCAGUGGGGAAGAAAGCCUUGGGGCUAAUACCCUCGAGGAAGGACAUCACCCACAGAAGAAGCACCGGCUAACUCCGUGCCAGCAGCCGCGGUAAUACGGAGGGUGCGAGCGUUAAUCGGAAUUACUGGGCGUAAAGCGCGCGUAGGCGGUCUGAUAAGCCGGUUGUGAAAGCCCCGGGCUCAACCUGGGAACGGCAUCCGGAACUGUCAGGCUAGAGUGCAGGAGAGGAAGGUAGAAUUCCCGGUGUAGCGGUGAAAUGCGUAGAGAUCGGGAGGAAUACCAGUGGCGAAGGCGGCCUUCUGGACUGACACUGACGCUGAGGUGCGAAAGCGUGGGUAGCAAACAGGAUUAGAUACCCUAGUAGUC
rnacentral:rRNA from 1 species